UUCCGGUUGAUCCCGCCGGACCUGACUGCUAUCGGAUUGAUACUAAGCCAUGCGAGUCAUUGUAGCAAUACAAGGCAUACGGCUCAGUAACGCGUAGUCAACCUACCCUAUGGACGGAAAUAACCUCGGGAAACUGAGAAUAAUAUCCGAUAGAACAUUAUGCCUGGAAUGGUUUAUGUUCCAAAUGAUUUAUCGCCGUAGGAUGGGACUGCGGCCUAUCAGUUUGUUGGUGAGGUAAUGGCCCACCAAGACUAUUACAGGUACGGGCUCUGAGAGGAGUAGCCCGGAGAUGGGUACUGAGACACGGACCCAGGCCCUAUGGGGCGCAGCAGGCGAGAAAACUUUGCAAUGUGCGAAAGCACGACAAGGUUAAUCCGAGUGAUUUCUGCUAAAGAAAUCUUUUGUUAGUCCUAGAAACACUAACGAAUAAGGGGUGGGCAAGUUCUGGUGUCAGCCGCCGCGGUAAAACCAGCACCUCAAGUGGUCAGGAUGAUUAUUGGGCCUAAAGCAUCCGUAGCCGGCUCUGUAAGUCCUCGGUUAAAUCUGUACGCUUAACGUACAGGCUGCCGGGAAUACUGCAUAGCUAGGGAGUGGGAGAGGUAGACGGUACUCGGUAGGAAGGGGUAAAAUCCUUUGAUCUAUUGAUGACCACCUGUGGCGAAGGCGGUCUACCAGAACACGUCCGACGGUGAGGGAUGAAAGCUGGGGGAGCAAACCGGAUUAGAUACYCGGGUAGUCCCAGCUGUAAACUAUGCAAACUCAGUGAUGCAUUGGCUUGUGGCCMAUGCAGUGCUGCAGGSAAGCCGUUAAAGUUUGCCGCCUGGGAAGUACGUACGCAAGUAUGAAACUUAAAGGGAAUUGGCGGGGGAGCACCACAAGGGGUGAAGCCUGCGGUUCAAUUGGAGUCAACGCCGG
rnacentral:rRNA from 2 species